rnacentral:lncRNA from 1 species
CUGCCUAAUUUUUAAUUUUCCACAAUAUUCAUUACGAUUAAAUAGAAACCCAGCUGGUAAACUUAAUAAUAUUUCGGGGCUUUUAAAAAGAUUUAUAUUGGGCUUUUGUGACAAAAUUAUAAGCCCAAUUGUUAUUGAAAAAAAAGUUAUAAUUUUGUAAUAUUUUUUAUAACUUCACGUUUAAAAUUCAAAGAUAACAUAAGGAGAAAUACCAAAUAUGAAAGCAAAAAACCAUAAUUCAAAGCAACAAAACAUAAUUAAACGACAACAUUAAAACUUAGUUCGUAACCAGCUCAGCUCAUCAA